rnacentral:lncRNA from 1 species
UGCCAUGUAUCUCUUAAGGAGAAACACAUCUAUAUAUUAGAAGAUCAAAGACCUUUCUUCGCCGCAAGGCAUACCAGCAGGAGUACUAGUUUUUGCGGGGAAAUCCCGGAUUGGGGACCAGGAAGAACCCAGCAAAAGACACUGCUGAAAGCCCAAGUUUUUGCGCACCCGUUUGCAGUGCUGCUUGGCACAGUUUACGGCACUUGUGUUACUGACUAACUAGGAAGAGGGGGAGCCAUGCUGCUGUAGAGCCAGUGGGGAGUUGGUUUUGGAUCUAGUAUAAAAAGGGCUCGAAAAUCAGCCAAUAUUAUCACAACUUAUUGAACAGCUGAACUCGUUUAGCCUUCCUUACAGAAAAAAAAUGGCCAAAUCGCUUCUGAUGAUUUUGAUGGUGUCUUUGGUGCUGCUGGCAAUUGUCAGCGAGUUCGGUGGACUCGUCGAGGGAUGUUUCUGCUGUGAAAAUGGCGAUUUAUCCCAAGGCAACUGUUGUCGUUGGCGUUGCGAUGGUGGAGGAUGUGGCUGCAGACCUUUCUUUGCUCUUCACUGCGGUGCACCCGACAGGUGUGGUGCAGAAUCACCCUAACCGAAAUAGUAGUUCAUCACUUGUUUUACAUGCAACCGAACUGGACCGAAUUUGUUAUCCGACCGAGAUUAUCCGAAACAACUGCAGAAUUUAAUAAAAAAAUGGG